rnacentral:rRNA from 1 species
UACGUAGGUGACAAGCGUUGUCCGGAUUUACUGGGCGUAAAGAGCGCGCAGGCGGUCGGUCAAGUCGAGUGUGAAAGCCCCCGGCUCAACUGGGGAGGGUCAUUCGAUACUGAUCGACUCGAAGGCAGGAGAGGGUAGUGGAAUUCCCGGUGUAGUGGUGAAAUGCGCAGAUAUCGGGAGGAACACCAGUGGCGAAGGCGGCUUUCUGGUCUGCUCUUGACGCUGAGGCGCGAAAGCUAGGGUAGCAAACGGG